UACGUAGGUGGCAAGCGUUGUCCGGAUUUAUUGGGCGUAAAGCGCGCGCAGGCGGUCCUUUAAGUCUGAUGUGAAAUCUUGCGGCUCAACCGCAAGCGGUCAUUGGAAACUGGGGGACUUGAGUACAGAAGAGGAAAGCGGAAUUCCACGUGUAGCGGUGAAAUGCGUAGAGAUGUGGAGGAACACCAGUGGCGAAGGCGGCUUUCUGGUCUGUAACUGACGCUGAGGCGCGAAAGCAUGGGGAGCGAACAGG
rnacentral:rRNA from 1 species